AUGGCUUGCUCUGCAAGGAUUUUGGUGACAGCCUGGUGCUUUUUUGUUGGCAUCUCUGUUUCUGUGCCAGGAUGGCAAGAACUGGUCUAUGGGCUCCCACCUCCUUGUGAGAGCUACAUUUACUGCACUGGGGACCUCCUGAAGCAGGUCCAGCUGGCCAGGCUCUUCUCUGAUGACAAACACUUUGUUGACAUGCCGUUGCGGGAGUCUCCAGAACUAGUUCUGAAGAAGUUUCAGCAGCUAGUGAAUGUGACUCCAGGGGGGAUAUUGUCCAAAGAGCAGCUGCAACAGUUUGUGAGCUCAUCCUUCAGUGACCCUGGACAGGAGUUUGAGCAAUGGGAACCUCAGGACUGGAUGAGCAGCCCCCAGAUUUUAGCCAAGAUUUCUGACCAGGAACUCCAGGCAUGGGCAUCGGAUCUGAAUGCCAAGUGGAAAUCCCUAGGGAGAAAGAUCAAAGAUGACGUUAGGACUCGGCCGACGCUUUACUCUCAGAUUUAUGUGCCGCACCCUCUGAUGGUGCCCGGUGGCAGGUUCAUUGAAUAUUACUACUGGGAUUCCUACUGGGUGAUCGAAGGGCUGCUCCUCUCUGAAAUGGCAGCCACGGCCAAGGGGAUGAUACAGAACUUCCUGUACCUGGUGGAAAGGUAUGGGCACAUCCCGAAUGGAGGGCGAGUCUAUUACCUACGCCGGAGCCAGCCACCUUUCCUCACUCUGAUGAUGGAUGCCUACCUGGCCCAUGCCAAUGACACAGACUUUCUCAGGGAGAAUAUCCAUCUGCUGGAGGUAGAGUACGAGUUCUGGCAGAGGAAUCGCUCUGUGAGCAUCACAGUUGGGGACAGGAAUCACACUCUGAACUACUACAACGUCCAGAUCGGGGAGCCCAGACCAGAGUCCUACAGCAAAGACUGGGAGUUGGCAAGUGAUUUAAAUGAAGAUGCCAGGCAGGAGCUCUGGGCAGAGCUAAAAUCAGCAGCAGAGUCAGGGUGGGACUUUUCCUCUCGCUGGUUCCUCUCCUGGCCUUCCUCACUCCCUGCGACACUGAAGGAUACCAAAGCCAGGGCUGUAGUGCCAGUGGAUCUGAAUGCCUUUCUGUGCAAGACCGAGCACCUGCUGGCUUCAUUCUACAGGAUACUGGGAAACACCACCAAGGCUGCCCAGUUCCAGGCUGCUCUGCAGCGCAGGCUCGAGGCUGUCCAAGCUGUCUUCUGGAAUGAGGCUGCUGGAGUCUGGCUGGACUUCAACCUCCUGAAGAAGCAGCCAAACCCAGCCUUCUUCCCCUCCAACCUGGCACCCCUGUGGACGGACUGCUUCUCAGACCAGGCUGCAGCUGAGAGGGCAGUGCGGUACUUAGAGGGGAGCACAGUGCUGUCCUACAAGAACGGGCUCCCUACCUCACUUUCCAGGACUGGGGAGCAGUGGGACCUGCCCAAUGCCUGGCCUCCACUGCAGCAUAUGGUGAUUGCAGGUUUGGCCAAGUCCAGCUCCUCGAGAGCCAAAGAAAUUGCCUUUGACCUGGCCCAGAACUGGGUCAGAACCAACUUUGCCUUAUAUAAGAAGUACCAGGCCAUGUUCGAGAAGUACAACGUGGAUGGAGAUGGGAAGCCAGGGACAGGAGGAGAGUACCAAGUCCAGGUCCCCCAGGAGAGCCAGUCCCCUCCAGGCCAGAGGAAAGGCAGCGAACAUCCAGGUCACUGCAAAGAGCACAGGGGAGUGUGGGUGUCCCGGAUGCAAAGCAGGAGCAGGCCUGGCUGGGCCCAGCCUCUGGAGCGGGGAGACAGCGGGGGGCCGCUGGUUUGCCAAGAUGAACUCACCUGGCGCCUAGUGGGUAUCGUGAGCUGGGGCACGGGGUGUGCUGAACCCAACUACCCUGGGGUUUACACCAAGGUGGCCGAAUUCCUGGACUGGAUUUAUCAGAUCAUCGAGCAAGAGCCUUCCAGAGGCAGGAAAUCAGAAGCGCAAGCCGGCUCCCUCUGCUUUGGACUGCGCAGAGCUGAGAGGCACAGAGGCAGGGCAAUCAGCAGCACAACAUGCACCUAAAUACAGAGGGAUGGAAAAAUACUCCAAAAGGCCUAGAGGGCCCUGCUCCCUGUGGGAAAGGUGGGCGGACGGCAAAGGGUCCCUCGCAGCUGAAUUCUCCCCCACUGAGGUAAAGAGUUUAAUCCGAGCCUUGUUCCAGAACACAGAGAGGAGAGCAGCGGCCCUUGUGAAAAUUAAAUAGCCUUGUGUUUACUCCUGUGCAAUAGACCUUUUCCUGGGAAAGCAACAGUAAAUCAGGUUUCAAACUCUUAUUUGGAUUUAACCCUUUUUCCUAAUGAGUUUAGCUUUAUGAAAGCACUUCCUAAAGGCCUGGCCAAUGGGAAAAAACUUCACCCAGCUCAGCAUCUAUACAAUAAAUGUAGCAAUUUAAUGCAGCUUGGCCUCCAAAAGCAAAGGAGAGUAACUCCUUGGCACUAGCCGGUGCUACUUCGUCCACUACCCAGAGAAGUGCCGUGCUGUAAAACUCUGGCUCCUGACAUGUAGUCUACCAGCCCGGACCCAUUUCGGGCGAUACGGGGUAACUUAUCAGCUAGAAAAAUUUCAUUGCUACCGUGCUAAGCACAUUUGUGGAGGUCAUAACUGUGGUGGCGGUAGAUUCUGGAAGCGGCGCAGUUUUUCUAGGUCAUACAAUGUUUAAAUGGGACCGGGCACCAAAUUUGAAAACAUCUGAAAAUCACAAGAAGGGCCGUAACUCAGAGGCAUAGUUUAAUUUUGACCAAAACCAUCAGUCUUCUAAACACAAAUCGUACUGUUUUGGAAGGUUUGGGAAACAUUUAGCCCCGGGCGAUCAGCUUUAUGCAAGUUCCUGUACUCUUUUACCUUUGGUUAAAGCAAGUCUGUAGUCACACGACAGUCAGAGCUUGUUUGUACCAUGUAUUGCAUCAAAAUAUUUGUCAUUAUUUGUAGAAUAGACUGAUCUGAGAAGUUUUUUCUGUCUGCUAUUUUUAUCAAGUUAUACAGAUGACAAGAUCCCCACCCUCUAAUUAUAAAACAUAUAUUUACGAUAUCGUCUGCUCGGCCAGAGACAUAAGCCUAAAGCACACACGGUACAAAUAUAAUUUCAGUAAUAAUACAUGCGAACUCCUUAUAGAACAGUAAUGACGCUUAGUGGAAUGGCUGUAGAGCAUGUUGUAUGAAGGUGUCGUGUGAAUACCAAAGGAUAGCCACGUGCUGUCAAUGUAACCCCUUCAUCUAACGAUGGGCUAUUGAAUGCGUAACGCAGCACCCCUUCGAACUAUAUUUACUCACAAACAUCGUCGCUGUAAUUUGCAGAUAGUUGAAACAUUUCUGCUCCCACCCAGAGUCUCCGCCCUGUUCGAUAGUCUGCUGCUACACUCGUCCCUGUCACAGCUGCACGCACGGGAGCCCAACAAACCUUCCCUGCGGCGGCCGGGGCUCUCACAGCCACAGUGCACAAAUGCUCUAA